GGUGCCAUCUGCAAAUUUGCUGAUCCAGUUGACUAGAUUAUCAUCCAGAUCAUCAGUAUAGAUGGCAAGCAACAAUAAGCCUAGCACCUAUCCCUGUGGCACUCUACUAUCAAAGGCCUCCAGUCAGGCAAAUAUCUACUAUUACUAAUUGGCUUCUCCCCCAAAACCAAUGUCUAAUUCCAUUUACAACCUCAUCUUGAAUGCCAAGCGAUGGAACCUUCUUGAACAACCUCUCAUGUGGUACCUUGUCAAAUGCCUUGCUGAAGUCCAUGUAGGCAACAUCCUUACUUUCAUCAACUUUCCUGAUAACUUCCUUGAAAAACUCUAUAAGAUUGGUUGGACACGACCUACCCUGAACAAAGCCAUGCUGACUAUCCCUAAUCAGUCAAGGCCUAUCCAAAUACUCAUAUAUUCGGUCCCUUUGAAUACCUUCCAAAACCUUUCCCACUAUUAAUUUCAGAUGUACCAGCCUAUAAUUUUCCUGGUUUGUUUUAAGAGCUUUUUAUUUUGAAAUGCUGCACUGACCUUUAACCUGCUCCAAGUUCAAUCGAACUUUUCCUCAUAGGACAUUUUCCCUAAUCGGGCAGCUAAUUUGCAGGGGUUGGAGACAACAUUCCCUUCUAACAACACAUCUUAGAUUCUCUCUCAGCUCAUUACACUAAUAAAAAUCCUACUCAAACAUAAAGUAAAAUCCAGCUUCAUAAGUAAUAUAUAAAUGAACUUGAGGAUUCACGAACUACUUGGAUCUCUUGUCCAGCAACAGUAAUCUCAUGGUUUCCUUCACCAAUUGUUCAGAAGAAAUCCUCAAGCUACCAGUCCACUGGUACUAUACCAACACUGUAAAUCACUGACCAGUUGAACAGCAGUUCCUAAAGCAAAUUGUUCUUUACCAGCACUGGCUGUUCUGGAUACCAUCCCACUAUCAUGUCCUUUUCAUUCCUUGUGCAUUUCACACAACAUUUCCUUGGGUAUCUGCAAAAUCCCUUCCAGAGUGGACUGAGAACGGGGUGAAGGAUAACAGCAGAUAGGGAAGAUGGUGUUGGGAUACAAGCCAAGUAGAUGAAAGUAGAGUCAGAUGUGAAAAAGGUAGAUGGAGCCAGGUGGGAGAGGACAAGUGAAGAUGGAGACAACAGGAAUGGUGAUGAGCAAGAACACACAGGCUGCCAGUGCUGAUAAGAAACUGAUGUUGGGAACCAUUAGUGAAGAGGUAAUAAUGGGAAAUACAUGAGUCCACUCAUAACAUUUAAACUUCAUGAUGUAUCUCCUACCUGUCAUUGCCACUGUUAAAUACAGAUUUCUCCAUUUCCUUUGUGAUGUAUUUCUGUUCUGAUAUCCCUCAAGUGGGAUAUUGUUACACUAAGUUCAGGAAUACUUGCUUCCACUCAGGUUUUGUGUAUUCUGAGAUAGCUAAUGUCGGAAGUGCAGACUCCUCCACAAAUGAAGCUUGGGCAUGAUCAGUUUACCAGGUAGUCUUCUCCUUCCACUCCUUACAUGGGGCCUCUUUGAGCUCUCAAUACUUGGCUUUGAGUCUCCCAACACCAUCCUGAAUGUUCCUACUCCAUGGACCAGAGAUUUGCAGGAGUCAGUGGAGAUGUUAUAUCCUUUGAGCACAUCCAUAAAUCUUUACCUUUGCCUGUCUGGUAAUUUAUUUUUGAAAUAGUGUUUGGAGAGCACUUUUGCAAAUAACAUGGUCUUUAGAAUGUUUUUCAGAGAAAGCACUGGCAGAACUUUUUCAAAUGUCUCAAGGUACCUGCUGUAGGUCAUCUAUGCCUUGGAAGAUUAAAGGAGGAUAUGAAUCACAGAUCCAGUAGACAAUGUCAGCAUUCAUUGAUUUCGAAAGGUCCCUCACCUGACUUCUCAAGCGGAUUUGAAUUUCUAGAAGGAGGAUGAAGUGCGUCAUAUGAAAUAGGAGCUGAGACAUGCUUCACUACUCAAGGAAAUUAUGGUGGUAGAAGCGGUAACAGACCUGGACAACCUGGAAGAGGUCCUGGUGUGAUAACAGAGUAAAAAUUCUAAUCCAGAUUUCAUCAGGCAGAUAAAGCCAUCGUAAAGCGUUACCAUCUCGUGGACAAAUCUGGGUCAAGACAACAGAAUUGAAGGAAUAAGAAACUAAGCCUGCCUCUCGAGUGAAGUUCUGGAAAUAAAUAAGGAAUUAAAACAACUGGAGAUGAUAUUUUCCCACAGUCACAUAAGAUCAUACCGGUUGAACGAUCAUCAGGAUUUCUUGAGCCCAGCACACGAUAUGCCUGAGCUUCUGAAUUUCUGAUACAGAGGGAUUCUCCAGGAAAUUAUAAUCUGGCCUUGGCGUGCAAGCAUCUUUCCCAUCACUCUCAGAAAUGUUCAACAAUGUGUCU